UUUUUACACCUGAGAUAAGAUUUGAUGUGUUGAAACAUGCAUUUCUUUAGAUAGUGAUAGAAAAUAUUGUUUUCAAAGGAGGGGAAAAAAGCAUAAUUUUAAAAUGAGAGAAACAAAGUCCAAGCAGGAAAAUUGCAAAAUAAUCCUUUUUCUAUUCAAAAUCAGUGGUGGGUAGGGGAGUGAGAUCUACCCAAAGUGGGGAUUAAGCAUCUCUGGAUAUCAAAUGGAGAGUAAGACUGCUAACAGCUUUGGCUAGAACUCUGAAAAUGUUAGCUGUUUUAAUUGAUAAGGCACCAAACAAAACUUUAUAUAUCCAAGACUGAUAAAUGAAGUUAGAGUAGAAACAUCAGUAGAUAUUUCUACAAUUUUAUUUAGCUCAAAAUGAUAUCCUUGAAGUUGAAGAUGGUGAAUAGAAUAGCUUUAUUAUGAGAAAAAGGGGGAAGGCCUGGCAAAUUACUCAGAAAUUAUACAUUCAUCUAUGCUAAUUUCAUUUGAAAGGGAAACUGCAUAAGUUUUUUGUGCAAUCAGGCAGAGCUGCACUAGGUAUGAUGGAGAUCAGCCCUAUGCUCACAGUCCUUGGCUCAUCAGAAUUCUUUGAAGACAUCAUUACUGUGAAGCUGCUAAGCUGUUUUCAGAAGAGAAGAGGAAGCACAGAGUAGGUGCUGUUAUUGCUUUGAAUGGAACUCAGCUUGCUUGUGUGGGUUUGGAGUUGAUAUCAUCUACUAAGAGAAGACUUAAUUGUAGUCAUAAACAGUCUGUGAAUGACUUGGGUCCUUCUGAAGUGCUGUAUAUGGGAAAUUUCUUUUUAACUCUCCAACAUUUGGUAAGAAAAAUCUUCCAACAAAUGGAAUUGCCUUUCUAUUAAAAAAUAAAAAAUACUUGAGAACAUGGCAGUUUUAAACAAUGGGCUAGUAUGGCAAAUGUGUGAGGAUACUUGCAGACAUCCGAACCCACAGCUUCUCCAAUACAUCUGUGGACCUCUCAGAGGCAGAAUAGUCCGAAGGCUUGUUAUGGCCCAAAGUUCAAAGAAAAUACAAGAGGGGAAGAUUUAAAUGGCAGAAGAGAGAUAAAGUAUAGCCAAUCAUUCUCUCAGGAAGUCUUCUAAGAACAGUGCUCUUUUAUGUACUCUUCAUUUUCAGCUUGAGUCUUUCUUAUAUCUAAGGUCCCUUGGGCCCACAAAACUGGGCAGAAAUUUUCCUAGCCAAUAAAAUGCUUGACAUUUCUCUUCUGACGUGCAAGGAAAUAGAACAGUCUAUCAUUUCCUGCUUUAGAACUACCUGAGAUAGUUGGUAUAUACCCUUUUCUUCCAUGGACCCAGUCUUGGCCACUCUAGCAGUUCCCUAAGAUAUUUCUCUUUUGAAGGUUUUUUCUUCUAGUGUCUUCUUUAUUUCAGUUCCACAUGGCUGGGAGGCCUCGGGAAACUUACAAUCAUGGUGGAAGACAAAGGAGAAGCAAGUACCUUCUUCACAAGGCUGCAGAAAAGAGAGAGAGAGAGCAGGGGAAACUGGCACUUAUAAAAUGAUCAGUUCUUGCAAGAACUUACUAUUACGAGAGCAGCAUGGGGGAAACCGCCCCAUGAUCCAAUCGCCUCCUACCAGGGCUUUCACUCAACACGUGGGGAUUAGAGUUGGAGAUGAGAUUUGGGUGGUGACACAGACAAACCAUAUCAAAUACUAUUAUACUUUAAAUUUUCUUUUUAGGAAUAAAACCUGCUUCUGGCUUCCAGUUACCAACAAUAGUUUGCAAAGUGUGAUCCCCUGACCAGCAGCAUUAGCAUCACCUGGGAACUUACU
rnacentral:lncRNA from 1 species